AGCUUUGCGCAGAGGCGAUAUCGCUAUCACUGAUGUUCUACCUAUUGCGAUUACUGCUAGUAGAAUACUUUAGCCAAUACUCGGCCAUGGAGGACGUGAAAUACCGACCGCCAGGCAAUUUUUGGAACUGAACACUACCCAAAUGACGGUUUGGUGUUCA